UACGUAGGGUGCGAGCGUUAAUCGGAAUUACUGGGCGUAAAGCGUGCGCAGGCGGUUAUGUAAGACAGAUGUGAAAUGCCCGGGCUUAUCCUGGGAACUGCAUUUGUGACUGCAUGGCUAGAGUUUGGCAGAGGGGGGUAGAAUUCCACGUGUAGCAGUGAAAUGCGUAGAUAUGUGGAGGAACACCGAUGGCGAAGGCAGCCCCCUGGGUCAAGACUGACGCUCAGGCACGAAAGCGUGGGGAGCAAACAGG
rnacentral:rRNA from 1 species